rnacentral:miRNA from 1 species
AACUCUUGAUUUCUGUAGAAU